rnacentral:rRNA from 1 species
CCUACGGGAGGCAGCAGUGAGGAAUAUUGGUCAAUGGGCGCGAGCCUGAACCAGCCAAGUAGCGUGAAGGAUGACUGCCCUACGGGUUGUAAACUUCUUUUAUGGGGGAAUAGCAGAAGACGGUACCCCUUGAAUAUGCCACGGCUAACUACGUGCCAGCACCCGCGGUAAUACGGAGGUGGCAAGCGUUGUCCGGAUUUACUGGGUGUAAAGGGCGGGCAGCCGGAUAGACAAGUCAGAUGUGAAAUCCACGGGCUCAACCCGCGAACUGCAUUUGAGACUGGUUGCCUUGAGUGUCGGAGAGGUAAUCGGAAUUCCUAGUGUAGCGGUGAAAUGCGUAGAUAUCAGGAAGAACACAGGUGGCGAAGGCAGAUUACUGGACGAUAACUGACGGUGAGGCGCGAAAGCGUGGGGAGCAAACAGGAUUAGAUACCCCUGUAGUC